GGGGGCCCCCCAUAUUCUAAAGUAUAAAUAAUUCCGGGCGGGAUAUAUACACUUCCACACAUAGAAAUCUAUAUAUUUACACUCGCAUAUGUACAGAAUUUGGGAACAGCUGCUACACACACACACAUCAAA